rnacentral:hammerhead_ribozyme from 1 species
AUCCAGCAGAUGAGUCUCAAAUAGGACGAAACGCGUGUCCUGGAU